rnacentral:rRNA from 1 species
ACUCCUACGGGAGGCAGCAGUGGGGAAUAUUGGACAAUGGGCGCAAGCCUGAUCCAGCCAUGCCGCGUGAGUGAUGAAGGCCCUAGGGUUGUAAAGCUCUUUCACUGGUGAAGAUAAUGACGGUAACCGGAGAAGAAGCCCCGGCUAACUCCGUGCCAGCAGCCGCGGUAAUACGAAGGGGGCUAGCGUUGUUCGGAUUUACUGGGCGUAAAGCGCACGUAGGCGGACUAAUAAGUCAGGGGUGAAAUCCCGGGGCUCAACCCCGGAACUGCCUUUGAUACUGGUAGACUUGAGUUCGAGAGAGGUGAGUGGAAUUCCGAGUGUAGAGGUGAAAUUCGUAGAUAUUCGGAGGAACACCAGUGGCGAAGGCGGCUCACUGGCUCGAUACUGACGCUGAGGUGCGAAAGCGUGGGGAGCAAACAGGAUUAGAAACCCUAGUAGUCCCAU